GGAGAGGCCGUGAGAUCUGCCCCCGGAUCCAGCGGGGCUCUUUCUGCCCUCUGUGAUGCUUGGAUAAGGCUCUGUUCUCUAAGCUCUUGAAUAAGCUGAGAUACUGCAGUAUUUGCCAGAGGAGAAGGCCACAGCACAGACACAGAGAAGAGGGAGAGAUUGUGGAUGUUUUCAUGCCUUUGUGUCCUCUUGGAGAGGUGAAGUCAAGGGGUGGCUGCUUGAAGGCUGCCCAGCAAAACAGCCAAGAGAGAGUUUGUUGAGGAUUUGGCAACACAGAUAUGCACAACUACAAUCGAAAUACAUGAUCUGAGGAAAUACACUCUUUCUUGUUGAAAACAGCAUCUUGCUGUUUCUAUCUUUGGAGUUAAUAUUUAAAGACUAGAGCUCUAAUACACUCCAAGACACUCUCUUAUUUCCUUUCAUGGGGUCACUUUACUGUAUUUUCUUGUUUAAAUAAAUUGUAAAAGAUGCAUCUGGCAGAUCCACCUUGUAAACUGAUUUUCUAACCUGUUCAUAUCAUUAUUCAGUACUAGCACUAUGUUCCACCUUGAGGUCCCAUAGAAACACCUCCAUGCCCAGCUUUCUGCUUGGGUACCAUUGCUCAGAGACCAUGAAAGCAUGAAACUGGAUACUAUCCCUGCAGGUUGGUGCAGUUAUGAUGUGGCUAAACGAAAACAAAAUAGCUUUUGAUGCUUAUUGUUCUUUUCUCUCUUUUUUUUUUUUUUUUUUGCCAUUUUUAUUCUUCACUGACUGUAAGCUCAGUAAGGAUGCAUUUCUCAAAAGGAGCUGAAGUUUCCCUUCUCAACAUAUUAGAAAUUCUGCAUUUCAGUGACUCCCACCAACGUUUUUAUCCCCCCUCACAAAAGCAGUCCUAUCCAAGGAUCUUAAAAAAAAAAAAAAGAAAGAAAGGUUGAUCUUUAAGUAAUACAUAUGAUAUUAGUUUUUCCGUUUUAAAAUAAUCACAUUAUUGCAGACAUUUUAAUAGCUGUAGAGGUUGCUAUGUAUUAACAUGAUUCAUGGUCCUUGACAGCAGUGUCUCUGAAAAUCCCACAGGAAUGCAAAAUACAAAACUCCACACACGUUCAAAUUUUACUGCCUGCAGCUAAAAGAGGGGAAAAAAAAACUUAAAACUGUUGAAACCCUUCAACUUUAAAAGCAUUAAUAGAUGGUCCCAGGGGGUUAAAUCUAAAUCUUAAUGUGUAAAAAUCAAGUUAAUAACCACAGAGAUUAAUAUGGUUGCAUUUGAUUAUUGUGAUAAUGCAAACAAUUAGUACUGCUAAAGUGAGAUAUAUUAGCCUCCUACUUGCCCCACACACAUCUGCAAAGCAUUGGAAAUAAAUGGAAAUAAAACAUUUUUCUCUGAAAGAUUUUUCUUCUCUCCUUUUGCCACUGUCUUAUUUUCUCUGUAGCUGACUCAUUUUUUAAAUUAUAAUUGCUAACAUUUUAUUAUUAAGCCCCUCUUUUAUACGACUCUUAUAAAAUUGGUUGCCAUAACCAUCCAUUCC
rnacentral:lncRNA from 1 species